CUGUUUGAAUCAGGGGACAUUUGAGUCCCACUGCUGGAUAAGAAUGAGGAAUUCUGUCAGCCCCGGGUCAGGCUACAGAGAGUUGUACUGUGUACGGAUGGAUUUCCAAAACACACCAACAAGGUCUCCAGUUCCAAUACCUCAGUAAAGCUCCCUCUUCUUCAGCAUCCACUCCAUUUGUACAUCUGAACCCCAAGAAAAUAAUUUCUUUUUUCCAAGCAGGCAAAACAAUUAUUUCUCAGACAUUAAAUACACUAACACAAUACAGACACAUACACAGAGAGAAAAUAUGCAUUAAAUGUUUUGCAAAGGGGCCAAAGAAGGGAGUUUCUGGCAAUUACUCAGCAUAAGGAGUAAGGUAUAUGGUGAAUAGAUCAGAUAAAAUUAGUAGUUGUCAACCCAGUACUGCCUGAUGACAGAAAUUACAGCUUUAUCUCUCUCUUAUCCAUGCCUCCCACAUAUCAUGUGCCUCAUUAGGAUCCUAUGGACAGAACACACAAGAAAAAGACCAUCCUCAAGCAAUCAGAAAAAUCCAUCCAAAAAAUAAGUGAAAAAUUUCCUGCCAGAUUUAGUAAAAAUUAUUUAACUUUGUUACAGGACCUAAAUAUGUACUAUCCUAGACUAUGACUAUCCAUGCUGUAACCAGGUGUCUUUCCAUAGUUAAAAAUGCCUCCUUGCCCUCAAACACAUGUUAUUUGCUUGUUGGAAAAACUAGCUAUAUAAUAAAGCAAAUAUUAAAGA